AGCGAACGCUGGCGGUAGGCCUAACACAUGCAAGUCGAACGGCAGCACAGUAAGAGCUUGCUCUUACGGGUGGCGAGUGGCGGACGGGUGAGGAAUACAUCGGAAUCUACUUUUUCGUGGGGGAUAACGUAGGGAAACUUACGCUAAUACCGCAUACGACCUACGGGUGAAAGCAGGGGAUCUUCGGACCUUGCGCGAUUGAAUGAGCCGAUGUCGGAUUAGCUAGUUGGCGGGGUAAAGGCCCACCAAGGCGACGAUCCGUAGCUGGUCUGAGAGGAUGGUCAGCCACACUGGAACUGAGACAAGGUCCAGACGCCUACGGGAGGCAGCAGUGGGGAAUAUUGGAGAAUGGGCGCAAGCCUGAUCCAGCCAUACCGCGGGGGUGAAGAAGGCCGUCGGGUUGUAAAGCCCUUUUGUUGGGAAAGAAAAGCAGCAGGUUAAUACCCCGCUGUUCUGACGGUACCCAAAGAAUAAGCACCGGCUAACUUCGUG
rnacentral:rRNA from 1 species